GACGUGCUAAUCUGCGAUAAGCGUCGGUAAGGUGAUAUGAACCGUUAUAACCGGCGAUUUCCGAAUGGGGAAACCCAGUGUGAUUCGUCACACUAUCAUUAACUGAAUCCAUAGGUUAAUGAGGCGAACCGGGGGAACUGAAACAUCUAAGUACCCCGAGGAAAAGAAAUCAACCGAGAUUCCCCCAGUAGCGGCGAGCGAACGGGGAGCAGCCCAGAGCCUGAAUCAGUGUGUGUGUUAGUGGAAGCGUCUGGAAAGGCGUGCGAUACAGGGUGACAGCCCCGUACACAAAAAUGCACAUACUGUGAGCUCGAUGAGUAGGGCGGGACACGUGGUAUCCUGUCUGAAUAUGGGGGGACCAUCCUCCAAGGCUAAAUACUCCUGACUGACCGAUAGUGAACCAGUACCGUGAGGGAAAGGCGAAAAGAACCCCGGCGAGGGGAGUGAAAAAGAACCUGAAACCGUGUACGUACAAGCAGUGGGAGCACGCUUAGGCGUGUGACUGCGUACCUUUUGUAUAAUGGGUCAGCGACUUAUAUUCUGUAGCAAGGUUAACCGAAUAGGGGAGCCGAAGGGAAACCGAGUCUUAACUGGGCGUUAAGUUGCAGGGUAUAGACCCGAAACCCGGUGAUCUAGCCAUGGGCAGGUUGAAGGUUGGGUAACACUAACUGGAGGACCGAACCGACUAAUGUUGAAAAAUUAGCGGAUGACUUGUGGCUGGGGGUGAAAGGCCAAUCAAACCGGGAGAUAGCUGGUUCUCCCCGAAAGCUAUUUAGGUAGCGCCUCGUGAAUUCAUCUCCGGGGGUAGAGCACUGUUUCGGCAAGGGGGUCAUCCCGACUUACCAACCCGAUGCAAACUGCGAAUACCGGAGAAUGUUAUCACGGGAGACACACGGCGGGUGCUAACGUCCGUCGUGAAGAGGGAAACAACCCAGACCGCCAGCUAAGGUCCCAAAGUCAUGGUUAAGUGGGAAACGAU
rnacentral:rRNA from 1 species